UCAAAAGAUGAACAAUUUCGUUUUAAUAUACGCUGGAAAUUACCGACCGAGACUUUCGAGUCGCUGGCGAUCAAAAUGGCUAUUUCUGAUU
rnacentral:snoRNA from 1 species